GACUGUUUCGAUGGGAAGUGUCACUGCUUUCUUGGGUUUCAUGGCCAUGACUGCAGCAAACGUUCCUGCCCAAGCAGUUGUAGCGGACACGGUACGUGUCAUUCUAACGGGAUCUGUGAAUGUGAAAAUGGCCGAACCGGUGUUGAUUGCUCCACUGCGAUCUGUGACGAGCAGUGUAGUUUGCACGGUGGGGUAUGUGACAAUGGAGUAUGUGAGUUUCGGUGUUCGGAUUAUGCGGGUUACACAUGUCAAAACAGCUCCACUUUAC
rnacentral:misc_RNA from 1 species